UUUUAUUUCAUAUAUAUCCUUAGUUUAGAAAUAUGGAGGACUGCAUUUUCAUAUAAAGGACAAACGUCAAUAUUUGUUACUGAUAUAUAAAUUAAAAUAAUUGGUGGAUUUUCCCUCCUUAUUGCUGUUAACCACUCCCCAAGUCUAUUUUGUCCAGGUUUCUGAGAUAUCAUUUCUACCUCAUCCAGCAGAUGGUCUACUUUGUUUCUUCAGGAAGAAAAUGGAAGUGUUCAGGAUCCAGCCACCAUGGAGAAGAGGUAUGAUUAUCCUGAAACGACAAUACUUUUAAGGAAGCCUAAGCGAGUCACCUGGAGAGGCUACAGGGAAGAGAACUGAAGUGUCCAAGUGACAGCCCCGCAUGAGAUCCCAGCCUUCAGCAGAGACCAACGGCCACCACGUUGGACAUUCCAAAUCGGUUGAACCUCCAGUGAGCCAUCUUGGACAUUCCAAACUGGUUGAGUCUUCAGAUAACGGCAGCCACAGCUCACACCACAUGGAGAAGAACUGACACUGAGGAUGAAGGAGUUAAAAUUUCCCUGGAUUAGGGUGAAACUGUGCCUUUGACCCACAAGGUUAACGUGGGAAACAAAAUAACCAAAGCAUCUGAGCUUGCCUUGCACAACAGCAGGAGGACCGCCGAUAAGAGAGGAAUUUGCUGACAGGCCUCCUCCUGAGUAAGCAUCUUGCAGGAACAUUGAGAAGCUAAAAAGACUGUCAACUUUACACAUCAAAGACUAAAAAUCCACCAUGCAACACAUAGAACAGACAGUCAUUCCUGUGCAGAGGACUCUUAGAACUUCUGCCCCCAAGGCCACAUGCUCCCCAACUCCUACCUAAAACCCUAAAUAAAAACCCUUGCUUGUACCUUUUUCAGGAGUUUGGGAUUAUAGUGUUAGCUGCCUCUUCUCCUUGCUCAGUGCUUUGCAAUAAAAUUCCUACUUUUUUCCACUACACCCAAUGUCAGAGAUUGGCUUACUACUGUGUAACUGGCGAGUGAACUAACUUCAGAUUUGAUAUCAGAUGACCCUUAUAUCAGGUGAACUACCCAGGUGAACCCAACCAACCCACAGACUCAUGAGCAGCGAUAAAUGGUUGUUGCUGAUUGAAGCCAGUGAGAAAGGCAGGUAGCAUAGGCCCUGAGCAAUUGGCCUAGUGGCUGUGUCUGGAUGCGUACAGGGGUGCUAAGGUGGGAGGCCCCAAGGCAGCAGCAGAAGAGACAGUGGGCACAGCCCCAGGAGAGAAGAGGGACUCCAUGUGGGACAGCACAGGAACCUGGGUGGGAGGCCAGCCUCCUGACCAUCUUUAGACCCUAAUAAUUACAGUAAUUAUUAACUCUCUGGCCUGAGCACUGGGACAGGUACUGCAGGCGGCCAGGUAGUAAAUAUUGUCAGUAAAUUAUUACUAAACAACAGCAUAUACAUCGACAUUGCAAUAAAGCGUAUCAGGAAGUUAUUAGAAUUCUUCAAAGCGUUCAGAAUCUCUGGUUUUGAAAAUUGCUGGGUCAUUGCAAAGCAAAUACCCACAGGUUUAUAAAUAGAAAUUAAAUUCAACAGAAAAACCCACUAUUUUUAUAUGAAGCUUAAAUUGCCAUUGUAUAAUUGCCCUUGCAUGACAUUUAAAAUUAAAUUCAGGCAGGAGACUCAUUUGUAUGAAGAGUUAAAUCUUUUUAGAAAAAGUGUUAAGUGAGACUCAUUAACUUUACAUGUACUCUAAUUUAUACUGCUAAAUAAUUAUCAGAAAUAUGUCCCAGUGUUGUCACAGUCUAUAAAAUACUCUUAACGGCUCCUGUAACCAUUACAUCAGCAGAAACAUUCUUCUCAAAAUUAAAAAUUAUCAAAAAUUGGCUGCAAUCUUGCAUUUGCCAAGGCAACUCCUUUUUUUUUUUUUAAAGAUUUUAUUUUUUCCUUUUUCUCCCCAAAGCCCCCCCAGUACAUAGUUGUAUAUUCUUCGUUGUGGGUCCCUCUAGUUGUGGCAUGUGGGACGCCGCCUCAGCGUGGUCUGAUGAGCAGUGCCAUGUCCGCGCCCAGGAUUCAAACCAACGAAACACUGGGCCGCCUGCAGCGGAGCGCGCGAACUUAACCACUCGGCCACGGGGCCAGCCCCGGCCAAGGCAACUCAUUUUGCUUUCAAUAUCCUAAUUUGAAAAUGAAAUUGCUAAAAGUGUAAAUUUUGAUGAAAUAAUAAAUAAAUUUGGAGAAAGGUAAG
ensembl:lncRNA